rnacentral:rRNA from 1 species
AUUGAACGCUGGCGGCAUGCUUUACACAUGCAAGUCGAACGGUAACAGCACUUCGGUGGCUGACGAGUGGCGCACGGGUGCGUAAUACAUCGGAACGUGCCUAGUAGUGGGGGAUAACUACUCGAAAGAGUAGCUAAUACCGCAUGAGAUCUAAGGAUGAAAGCAGGGGACCUUCGGGCCUUGCGCUACUAGAGCGGCUGAUGGCAGAUUAGGUAGUUGGUGGGAUAAAAGCUUACCAAGCCGACGAUCUGUAGCUGGUCUGAGAGGACGACCAGCCACACUGGGACUGAGACACGGCCCAGACUCCUACGGGAGGCAGCAGUGGGGAAUUUUGGACAAUGGGCGCAAGCCUGAUCCAGCAAUGCCGCGUGCAGGACGAAGGCCUUCGGGUUGUAAACUGCUUUUGUACGGAACGAAAAGCCCUCUUCUAAUACAGGAGGGUCAUGACGGUACCGUAAGAAUAAGCACCGGCUAACUACGUG